rnacentral:rRNA from 1 species
GAUGAACGCUGACAGAAUGCUUAACACAUGCAAGUCGAUUCGAUUUACCUUCGGGUAUUGAGGAUGGCGGACGGGUGAGUAACGCGUAAGGAACUUGCCUCUUGGUCUGGGACAACUGUUGGAAACGACAGCUAAUACCGGAUAUUAUGAGAUUCUCGCAUGGGAAACUUAUGAAAGCUAUAUGCGCCAAGAGAGAGCCUUGCGUUCCAUUAGCUAGUUGGUGGGGUAACGGCCCACCAAGGCGACGAUGGAUAGCCGGCCUGAGAGGGUGAACGGCCACAAGGGGACUGAGACACGGCCCUUACUCCUACGGGAGGCAGCAGUGGGGGAUAUUGGACAAUGGGCCACAAGCCUGAUCCAGCAAUUCUGUGUGCACGAUGAAGGUCUUCGGAUUGUAAAGUGCUUUCAGUUGGGAAGAAGAAAGUGACGGUACCAACAGAAGAAGCGACGGCUAAAUACGUGCCAGCAGCCGCGGUAAUACGUAUGUCGCAAGCGUUAUCCGGAUUUAUUGGGCGUAAAGCGCGUCUAGGCGGAAAAAUAAGUCUGAUGUUAAAAUGCGGGGCUCAACUCCGUAUUGCNUUGGAAACUGUUUUUCUAGAGUACUGGAGAGGUGGGCGGAACUACAAGUGUAGAGNUGAAAUUC